GGGGUUGUGGCUCACUGGUAGAGCACUCACCUGGCACGUGUGAGGCCCUGGGUUCAAUCCUCAGCACCACA
rnacentral:tRNA from 1 species